rnacentral:rRNA from 1 species
CCUACGGGGGGCUGCAGUGGGGGAUAUUGCACAAUGGAGGAAACUCUGAUGCAGCAACGCCGCGUGAGGGAAGAAGGUCUUCGGAUUGUAAACCUCUGUCCUCAGGGACGAUAAUGACGGUACCUGAGGAGGAAGCUCCGGCUAACUACGUGCCAGCAGCCGCGGUAAUACGUAGGGAGCAAGCGUUGUCCGGAUGUACUGUGUGUAAAGGGUGCGUAGGCGGCCCUGCAAGUCAGGUGUGGAAACUAUGGGCUUAACUCAUAGAUUGCACUUGAAACUGUGGGUCUUGAGUGAAGUAGAGGCAGGCGGAAAUACCGGUGUGGCGGUGAAAUGCGUCGAGAUCGGGAAGAACAGCAGUGGCGAAGGCGGCCUGCUAGGCGAUAACUGACGCUGAGGAACGAAAGCGUGGGUAGCAAACAGGAUUAGAUACCCGGGUAGUC